ensembl:ncRNA lncRNA:CR44641 long non-coding RNA:CR44641
UCUUUCGGUGCAGCAGCUGCCGGCGGAUCGUUUGAGCUUGUCAGGUGAGGCAUGUUGAGUGUUUUAAUUACCGCCGGUGCACUGCGGACUGCAAGAUCGGUUGCAUCCGCAUAAACCGGCAACUGUGGCCAGGUUUAUUUGAUUUACGCGUGGUCAUUAGCCAUUGCCAAGUGGCUAAGAAGUCUUGGUCUUGGCGCUGUCUGCCUGUCGAGAAAUGUCAAAAGGUUAAUUGGAUUGUGGCAGCCGUAGCCGGAGAUGCCACCGAAAUUGAAUUGAAAACUAAAUCUGAAGCCGGACCCAGCCAAGAAUCUUGUUGAAAGGGGAAUGCCAGAAUGGCUGGCCAUUGAGCAGCCAACCAGAAAUGGUCAAUGGGUGCUCGAGUAAGUGGAAUAAAGUCUAAG